UUAAAUACUGCUAAUACCAGGUAUAACUGGCACCCUUACUUUUAAAGGAAACGAGCCC
rnacentral:tRNA from 1 species